rnacentral:rRNA from 1 species
UACGAGGGGUGCAAGCGUUGCUCGGAAUUAUUGGGCGUAAAGGGUAGGUAGGUGGUCUCAUUUGUCUGGGGUGAAAGCCCAGAGCUCAACUCUGGAACUGCCUUUGAGACUGAGAGGCUUGAGUACGGGAGAGGUGAGUGGAAUUCCCAGUGUAGAGGUGAAAUUCGUAGAUAUUGGGAAGAACACCGGUGGCGAAGGCGGCUCACUGGCCCGUAACUGACGCUCAUGCACGACAGCGUGGGGAUCAAACAGG